rnacentral:rRNA from 1 species
UUGGGAAUCUUGCACAAUGGGGGAAACCCUGAUGCAGCGACGCCGCGUGGAGGACGAAGGCCUUAGGGUCGUAAACUCCUUUUGCACGGAAAGACUUAGGACGGUACCGUGCGAAUAAGCCCCGGCUAACUACGUGCCAGCAGCCGCGGUAAGACGUAGGGGGCAAGCGUUGUCCGGAUUUACUGGGCGUAAAGCGCUCGUAGGCGGUCUGUUAAGUGAGAAGUGAAAUCUCCAGCGCUCAACGCGGAAAUUGCUUUUCAUACUGGCAGACUGGAGGAAUGCAGAGGUAAGUGGAAUUCCCGGUGUAGCGGUGACAUGCAUUGAUAUCGGGAGGAACACCCAUGGCGAAGGCAGCUUACUGGGCAUUUCCUGACGCUGAGGAGCGAAAGCGUGGGUAGCA